rnacentral:rRNA from 1 species
AUUGAACGCUGGCGGCAGGCCUAACACAUGCAAGUCGAACGAGUGGCGGACGGGUGAGUAAUGUCUGGGAAACUGCCUGAUGGAGGGGGAUAACUACUGGAAACGGUAGCUAAUACCGCAUACCAUCAGAUGUGCCCAGAUGGGAUUAGCUAGUGGGUGGGGUAAAGGCUCACCAGGGCGACGAUCCCUAGCUGGUCUGAGAGGAUGACGAGCCACACUGGAACUGAGAAACGGGCCAGACUCCGACGGGAGGCAGCAGUGGGGAAUAUUGCACAAUGGGCGCAAGCCUGAUGCAGCCAUGCCGCGUGUAUGAAGAAGGCCUUCGGGUUGUAAAGUACUUUCAGCGGGGAGGCGUUACCCGCAGAAGAAGCACCGGCUAACUCCGUGCCAGCAGCCGCGGUAAUAC